rnacentral:rRNA from 1 species
UGGGGAAUAUUGGACAAUGGGCGAAAGCCUGAUCCAGCCAUGCCGCGUGUGUGAAGAAGGUCUUCGGAUUGUAAAGCACUUUAAGUUGGGAGGAAGGGCAGUAAGCGAAUACCUUGCUGUUUUGACGUUACCGACAGAAUAAGCACCGGCUAACUCUGUGCCAGCAGCCGCGGUAAUACAGAGGGUGCAAGCGUUAAUCGGAAUUACUGGGCGUAAAGCGCGCGUAGGUGGUUCGUUAAGUUGAAUGUGAAAGCCCCGGGCUCAACCUGGGAACUGCAUCCAAAACUGGCGAGCUAGAGUAGGGCAGAGGGUGGUGGAAUUUCCUGUCUAGCGGUGAAAUGCGUAGAUAUAGGAAGGAACACCAGUGGCGAAGGCGACCACCUGGGCUCAUACUGACACUGAGGUGCGAAAGCGUGGGGAGCAAACAGG